AUGGUGCUCCCAACCUUACCGGUUACCCUCACAUUCCUCACACUGCUAGCUCUCUUGUCGAUUGCCAAGGCGGCUGAUAACAACUCCACAACCUCUGGCCUUAUCCUCCUAAAUUGCGGAUCAUCAACCCAAAACGAUGAUGAUAGUGGUCGUACUUGGGAUGGGGACACCGGCUCCAAAUUCGCGCCAUCAAUGAAAGGAGUUGCAGCCAUUGCUUUAGGCCAAACCCCUUCACUCACCCCCAGGGUUCCUUAUACAACUGCACGCAUCUUUACUUCAAAUUACACCUAUUCCUUCCCUGUCAGUCCAGGCCGAAUGUUCUUACGCCUAUACUUCUUUUCAACUGCUUACGAAUACUAUGCUGUCUCAGAUGCCGUCUUCGGAGUCACGUCACGGAAUCUUGUCCUCUUAAAUGACUUCAAUGCUUUGCAAACAGCUCAGGCGAUCACUUCUGCCUACCUUGUGCGUGAAUUCUCGGUGAAUGUUUCUUCAGGCAGCUUGGACCUCACCUUUGCACCAUCAGCACAACAGUAUGGGUCUUAUGCAUUUGUGAAUGGCAUUGAGAUUGUGCCCACGCCUGACAUCUUCGCAACACCUGACAUAAGAUUAGUCAGCGGUGAUAACACAUCUCCAUUCACAUUCGAUGCUGACAUGAGCCUCCAGACUAUGUACCGGCUCAAUGUCGGGGGCCCAGCCAUUUCCACGGAAGGUGACUCGGGCUUUUACCGCUCAUGGGCCAAUGAUGCCCAAUACAUACUUGGUGGCUCUGGGUUGACCUUUUGGAAAAAUGAUAAUUUGACUAUCAGUUAUACAUCUAGAGUGCCGAAUUACACCGCCCCAGUUGAUGUCUAUGGUUUCUUUUACCUCCUAAGGUUCCAUUUCUGUGAGAUUAAGUAUCCUAUUACCAAGGUGAAUCAGAGGUCAUUCUUCAUCUACAUCAACAACCAGACAACGCAGAAGCAAAUGGAUGUCAUCGUCCGGAGCGGAGGAAUCGGUAGACCAACGUACACUGAAUAUGUUAUCAUGGCUAUUGGUUCUCGUCAGGUGGACAUGUGGAUUGCACUUCACCCUGAUCUUUCAAGUAAACCACAGUAUUCGGAUGCAAUUCUGAAUGGUCUCGAGGUCUUCAAGCUACAGAAUUACGGACCGAGCAAUCUUGCUGGGCUCAGUCCUCCACUUCCGCAAAAGCCUGAUGUGAAUCCUACUAGGCUAUCUAAUGGUGAAAGAAAAUCCAAAGGUGGCAUACAAGCAAUCAUCGGUGGUACUACUGGUGGUUUUGCUUUAUUGUUGAUUGCCCUUUUCAGCAUGUGUGUUAUAUACAGACGGAAGAAGGUAGCGAAGAGUCCCGGCAAGACCGACUAUGGACAUGUGAAGCAUCCAACUAAAUGCAUAAAGUCUACAUGUGAUCUUGUACGUCAUUUCUCAUUUGCUAAAAUUCAAGUUGCCACCAAAGACUUUGAUGAAGCACUUAUUAUCGGCAGAGGCGGUUUCGGGAAUGUCUACAUCGGCGAUAUAGAUGGAGGGACAAAGGUGGCAAUCAAGCGAUGUGACCAGAAAUCCCAACAAGGCUUUCAUGAGUUCCAGACUGAAAUCGAGAUGCUGUGCAAUUUCCGCCAUCGCCACCUUGUGUCUCUGAUUGGCUAUUGUGAGGAGAAGAAUGAGAUGAUUCUGGUGUAUGACUACAUGGCUCAUGGAACACUGCGUGAGCAUCUGUACAACACCAGGAACCCACCACUACCGUGGCAGCAGCGCCUUGAGAUUUGCAUCGGUGCAGCCCAAGGACUGCAUUACCUCCACACCGGCGUAGAGCAAGGAAUCAUCCACCGUGACGUCAAGACCACCAACAUCCUACUGGAUGAUAGGUUAAUGGCAAAGGUUUCCGACUUCGGUCUGUCUAAGGCUAGUCCAGACAUUGGAAACACCCACAUGAGCACUGCUGUGAAGGGCACCUUUGGAUAUCUUGAUCCGGAGUACUUCCGGCUGCAGCGUCUCACCAAAAAAUCAGAUGUGUACUCUUUCGGGGUCGUGUUGUUUGAGACCCUGUGUGCGCGCCCUGUGAUAAACACUGAGCUCCCUUAUGAGCAAGUGAGCUUGCGUGACUGGGCGCUAUCUUGCUGGAAGAACGGUGUACUUGAGGAGAUUGUUGACCCCCGUGUUAAGGAGGAAAUCACCCCUGAGUGCUUCAGGGUUUUUGCAGAGAUAGCAGAGAAAUGUGUAGCUGAUCGUAGCAUAGAGAGGCCAUCAAUGGGUGAUGUACUUUGGAACCUUGAGGUCGCACUCCAGCUGCAGCAGGCUAGUGCAAGCUACAACAGCAACCGUGCAGAGGGUGCUUCAUCUCUUCAGAUCAGCGCGGUGCAUUCAGACAAACCAUCCACCAACUCAACAAUUAGCAUCGCAGCACAGGAAGCCAUAUUUUCAGAUAUUGCGCAUGCAGAAGGCCGAUAA
rnacentral:rRNA from 1 species